rnacentral:lncRNA from 1 species
GCACUCGUACAACGUCAGCAAUCUUAAAAGCCUAGACAAAGCAUACAAACUUUUCAAAGCCUCAAUAAAUUCCUCUGUGAAGCGGCCACAUCCCAGUGGUUUGUCAAAAGCAGUAACGGACCCUAGUAUUCCAUAGAGAGACAUGAUAAAGGAAUCAUGUAAACACACACACAAGCGCAGCAGUAAAGCGUGAAGUAAAGAAUCGCCACCUGUGGAGAGAAGCAGCUGUUUGUCUAAGUGUCUCUUCCUUUUAACCAUCCUACGCUGGUCUAGGUACCUUUUUCGCUUACGACGAGACUCUUCAACAGGGAGCUCAACCGGAACAUGACAUGCGCCAGCAGCUAGUAGAAAGCAAAUCAACCCGCAUGAACUCUAUGUACAGCGAGCAAAUCAACUCUAUGUACAACCGGAACAUGGCCGGCGCAGCCUAGGGAGGACGCAGCUGGCGAUUCCGGGCAGCGCAGGUCGCCGCUCCGGCACCGGUCGCCGACGACCCGAACUGUAACCCGGACCAAAGGCGGCCACAGAUCCACAGCCUGCAGCAAACACGCAGUCACCGAGAAUAGCAGAAUCCAAAAUCAGGAAGAAGCAAAACACCACGGAUAAGAGUAGCACUCCACCUCGCACAACUCGCAACCAAG